UGGUUGUGUGAAAGGAGAGAAGGUUAGCACUCCCCUCAACAGGGAUGGAAGAAGCUCUCGGGCCUGACAACACGCAUAUGGUUAAGGCAUUGCCACCUACUUCGGGCAUCUAACCAUCGUUUUUG
rnacentral:ncRNA from 1 species